rnacentral:misc_RNA from 1 species
AAGUCGUAACAAGGUUUCCGUAGGUGAACCUGCGGAAGGAUCAUUAACACGUAUCCAAACGUUAAACCCCCCCCGUGAACCUUCAUCGUGCUCUAGUGGGCCACUGAUAAACACAGCAAUUCCUGGUAAAUCAUUGUCUGAACAAGCCUUUGAGUCAGGAACCUCUGUGCAGUGCGAGCUACACCCACUAUAGAAGCGCUAGUUCCAUCGGCAUUGUUUCCAAGCAGCCAGUGCGUGAAAGUGGCAACUGACUGUGCAAGGAUAACGCUUAACGAUUUUGCAGCCGCAACACGAUUGAUAUCUUGGUUCUC